rnacentral:rRNA from 1 species
GUAGGGAAUAUUGCACAAUGGGCGAAAGCCUGAUGCAGCAACGCCGCGUGAGCGAAGAAGGCCUUCGGGUCGUAAAGCUCUUUUCGGGGAGAUGAGGAAGGACAGUAUCCCCGGAAUAAGACUCGGCUAACUACGUGCCAGCAGCCGCGGUAACACGUAGGAGUCAAGCGUUAUCCGAAUUCACUGGGCGUAAAGCGCGUGUAGGCGGCGCAAAAAGUUGGAUGUAAAAGCUCCUGGCUCAACUGGGAGAGGACGUUCAAUACUUUUGUGCUAGAGGACGGCAGAGGGAGGUGGAAUUCCCGGUGUAGUGGUGAAAUGCGUAGAUAUCGGGAGGAACACCAGUGGCGAAGGCGGCCUUCUGGGCCGUUUCUGACGCUCAGACGCGAAAGCUAGGGGAGCGAACGGGAUUAGAAACCCUAGUAGUCC